UACGUAGGUGACAAGCGUUGUCCGGAUUUACUGGGCGUAAAGAGCUCGUAGGCGGCUUGUCGCGUCGACCGUGAAAACUUGGGGCUCAACCCCAAGCCUGCGGUCGAUACGGGCAGGCUCGAGUUCGGUAGGGGAGACUGGAAUUCCUGGUGUAGCGGUGAAAUGCGCAGAUAUCAGGAGGAACACCGAUGGCGAAGGCAGGUCUCUGGGCCGAUACUGACGCUGAGGAGCGAAAGCGUGGGGAGCGAACAGG
rnacentral:rRNA from 1 species